rnacentral:misc_RNA from 1 species
GAAAUGCGAUAAGUAAUGUGAAUUGCAGAAUUCAGUGAAUCAUCGAAUCUUUGAACGCACCUUGCGCUCCUUGGUAUUCCUUGGAGCAUGCCUGUUUGAGUAUCAUGAAAUCUUCAAAGUAGAUCUUUUGUUAACUCAAUUGGUUUCUACUUUGGUAUUGGAGGUCUUUGCAGCUUCACACCUGCUCCUCUUUGUUCAUUAGCUGGAUCUCAGUGUUAUGCUUGGUUCCACUCGGCGUGAUAAGUUAUCUAUCGCUGAGGACACUGUAAAAGGUGGCCAAGGUAAAUGCAGAUGAACCGGUUCUAAUAGUCCAUUGACUUGGACAAUACUUUUAUGAUCUGAUCUCAAAUCAGGUAGGACUACCCGCUGAACUUAAGC